rnacentral:rRNA from 1 species
ACCAGACUCCUACGGGAGGCAGCAGUGGGGAAUAUUGCACAAUGGGGGAAACCCUGAUGCAGCGACGCCGCGUGAGUGAAGAAGUAUUUCGGUAUGUAAAGCUCUAUCAGCAGGAACGAGACAAGACGGUACCUGACUAAGAAGCCCCGGCUAACUACGUGCCAGCAGCCGCGGUAAUACGUAGGGGGCAAGCGUUAUCCGGAAUCACUGGGUGUAAAGGGAGCGUAGACGGCUGUGCAAGCCUGAAGUGAAAGGCGGGGGCCCAACCCCCGGACUGCUUUGGGAACUGUACGGCUGGAGUGCAGGAGAGGUAAGUGGAAUUCCUAGUGUAGCGGUGAAAUGCGUAGAUAUUAGGAGGAACACCAGUGGCGAAGGCGGCUUACUGGACUGUAACUGACGUUGAGGCUCGAAAGCGUGGGGAGCAAACAGGAUUAGAUACCCCUGUA